UGGUUUCACUUUCCUGCUUACCUGUUUCCUGUGCUUGGUUUACCUGUCCUGUGUUCUGUUACCCGCUCCUGUGUCCCCGAUUCUUUAUCCCGUCCUGUAUCCAGCCCUCCGCCUCAGCUUCUUGCCUGUUCCUACUCCAUUGUAUUCCGGUUUCGAUCAUCGCACGCCCUGGACCUCGUUCUGCUUGCUCUACAUCGCCUGUCUCAUCACCACAAACUGCUUUACCCAGUGUUAUUCUGUUUGCUGGGUCUUGAGCUUGGACUGUACACCUUGCUAAUAGAUCUACCUGUUAUUUCUGAGUCCGCGCUUGGUUUUGAUUGCCUGUCCCGCGACAUACCGAUGUGGUGUAGAAGAAGGUUGGGUGCGGAUCGUGUGUUUCUUCCGGUCCUGGUUUUCCAUCACACAGUCACUCCACUCGCCUAGUUACCCCACCUCACUUCCUGAUCUCUUUCACCUGCUUAGUCAUCACCUCAUUACUCCAUUAGCACUGAUUUCAGUUGCCCCACAGUUCUCAGCACAUUCCUCACUCCCCAUCAAUCAUUCAGUUAGCACUGGCACAUGUAGAGCAUUCACUUCCACGUAGUUAGGUAAUUAGUCAGAUUCCCUACACCUGUCCUUUUCACUAUUUAGUCCCAGCUCACACUCCCUUCCCUGCCAGACCAGGGAAGUUUCUUCUUCUAAAUCAAGUGCCUUAGGUGACUGUUCUGAUGAGCUGUACAGUUGGUCUCUGUACCCAGCCUUGUCUCCUGCCUUGCCUGCCUGCCUGCCUGCCUGCCUGCCUGCUUGCCUGUCCCGCUGGUUCCCUGCCAGCCUCGCCUGCCUGCACGGGGGUUCUGACCUCCAGCUCUACUUUUGCGUACUAUUAAUAAACUCUACAGUGAGGAGUGCUUUACUGAAUUGUGGUCUACUGAACUGGCUUUUGGGUCCUCACCAGUCACCCGUUGUACCACAGAGACCACAUGUGAGGGGAAUGGACUACCAUUUGUUUUACUUUAGUGUCAAAUUACAAUGCCUUGAAAAUGGUCAAUUCAUGGAUGGAUUUUAUUGGAUUGGGAAUAUAACAUUGAUCCAUUUAUAAUUACACUUAAGUGUGAUAAUGGGUUGCAAACAGAGGAAGACCAUUUAAAGAAUACACAGUUGUCUCAGGUUUGGGUUAUUAUUGAGCAGACUUUUGGAAGAUUAAAAUGUACAGUAGGUGUGCGGAAUACAGGCUGGACAUUAUUGUCCUGUGGUCCAGCUACUUGGAGAUGAGAUGAUCAUCCUGAUGGUUGUCUAAAAGGGGAUGAUGACAAUGAGUCAUUGUCUCUCACACAGACACACACAGCAAACCCCUAUCGCCACAAUUGGUUAUGAGCUACCCUUCCCCUGAUUGGCUGUGGAUACCUUCAUUUUGAUUUGAUUGGUGCAAACAAUUGUGAGCUUUUUCCUGUCCUAUAUGGAAAAGUGGUGCCAAAAUGAAUUGUAUUUGUAAAAUGGGAUUUGUAGUUUUGUGAUGCAUAAACGCAUAUAGACACGGAAAACAUGUGUAAAUAAUAUUGGCACUAAA